GUCUCCUUGCAAUGAGUGGGGAUCCAAAGGCCUAAUCACUGAGCGAUACAAUUUAUUCUGAAUUUGAUUAACGCUGUACCUUCGUCCGGUCGAACGAAAUUCUAUUUCGUAGAAUAAAGGGUGGACAAAUAUCCAUUGCUAAGGUGUACUGAAGAACUAAAUGCCGUGAAAGAGUCCAGCAGUUGUUACAUGGAGUCGAUAGAAACACAAAACACAAGAUGUUAAAUGGAAACAUGACCAACUAGAGAGUUCCGCGCUAGUGUGCAUCCAAUCAUCACAUCCUUCUGAAAGCCGAAGCUGUCCAAAUGUCAAGGCGGCAAAUCUAUCGAGCGUUUUCCCUCAGAGAGAGGGGCUCUGUUUGGGACAAUAAACUAAUGAGGUAUCCCUCACGAUUACACCUACAAUUCAAUGUGUAUAGUUUCCAGUUGAAAACAUGUUGAUAUAUAUAAUAUGUUAUGUGCAGUUUAUGCUUAUACAUAUGUGUUAGAUUGUAGGAUCGUAUUACAACAAUUUUACAAUCUC
rnacentral:sRNA from 1 species